ACUCCUACGGGAGGCAGCAGUGGGGAAUAUUGCACAAUGGGCGCAAGCCUGAUGCAGCCAUGCCGCGUGUGUGAAGAAGGCCUUCGGGUUGUAAAGCACUUUCAGUUGUGAGGAAAGGUUAGUCGCUAAUAUCGGACUAGCUGUGACGUUUAGCAACAGAAGAAGCACCGGCUAACUCCGUGCCAGCAGCCGCGGUAAUACGGAGGGUGCGAGCGUUAAUCGGAAUUACUGGGCGUAAAGCGCGUGUAGGUGGCUUGUUAAAGCCAGAUGUGAAAAGCCCCGGGCUCAACCUGGAACUGCAUUUGGAACUGGCAGGCUAGAGUUUUGUAGAGGGGUGGUAGAAUUUCAGGUGUAGCGGUGAAAAUGC
rnacentral:rRNA from 1 species